rnacentral:rRNA from 1 species
UACGGAUGGUGCAAGCGUUAUCCGGAUUCACUGGGUUUAAAGGGUGCGUAGGCGGGCAGGUAAGUCUGUGGUGAAAUCUCCAAGCUUAACUUGGAAACUGCCGUUGAUACUAUCUGUCUUGAAUAUUGUGGAGGUGAGCGGAAUAUGUCAUGUAGCGGUGAAAUGCUUAGAUAUGACAUAGAACACCGAUUGCGAAGGCAGCUCACUAAACAAUGAUUGACGCUGAGGCACGAAAGCGUGGGGAUCAAACAGG